GGCUGGAUCACCUCCUUUCUAAGGAGUACAAAGAACGACAGUUCAAUUAAAAUUCUUAGUUUUAUCACUAUAUGGGCCUGUAGCUCAGCUGGUUAGAGCGCACGCCUGAUAAGCGUGAGGUCGGAGGUUCGAGUCCCCCCAGGCCCACCACUACAACAUUAGGAACCUGACGAUUAAAGAGAAGUAUAUUUCUGGUCAAGCGACCAAGGGCAUAAGGUGAAUGCCUUGGCACUGAGAGCCGAAGAAGGACGUGACAAGCUGCGAAAAGUCUCGGGGAGGAGCAAAUAUCCUUAGAUC
rnacentral:misc_RNA from 1 species